GGUUAUGAUUAGACAUGAUUGGUUCAUGCGAUAAAUCACGCCUCUUACUUUUUAAUUAGUCUUCCCAUUAACGCCAUCCAUCACUGUCUUCAUUCAGGCCGAUUCGACUAGAACGCGCACGAAAACAAGUAAACAACUGUCACUUAGAUAUCACCGCUUUAUUUAAUGUCAAAAUCAAACUCGAAAUGGCCAGAAAACAUGAUGACUGCAGCGGUUUUUAGUGAGCAAUCAGCGUGGUGAAAUUAAAGAGACUGAUAGGAUCUGCAGCAUCAACAACAGAAGCGGAAAAUCCACAGCAUGCCGCCCACUCAUCAGCCCAGAAGGAGACCGGCUGUAUGAAACAGACAGUCUGUGCAAGGCAGCUUCAACUUUACAUUCUACAGGGUGAAAUGCAGGUUGACAUUGGCUGUUGCACAUCCUGCAACCAGUUGCAACAUGUCGAGAUAUAUGGAAGUGUAAAUGAGACUUGAGAGCUGUUGUGGAGGGGGAAUUUUUAUUUUUUUAGUGGAGAUAUUUUUUGUUGUCAUUUUUGGAGCAUGACAGCUCAUCAUGAAAUUGUAUGGAAAGAAGCAGCAUCAGCAUUCUGCUAAAUGUCCUUUUCUGUUUCAUGGAAGAAGAAAAAUGAAGGGGUUCUGACCACCAUGAGGGUGAGUAAAUAUUGACAGAAUUUUUAUUUUUUUUGGGUGAACUUUCCUUCUCUUAUAUUUUACAUAGACUCUAAAGGUUUUUGAACAUGAGCAGAGUACAGACUUUGAACAGUUUGGGUCACGGAUGAAUACAUGGAAACUCCAUCAUGCACACCAUCAUUCCAGCUGCAUCACUUACCACAAUUCUGUGAGCAUCAUUUACAUGACCGAACUGUAAUCAUUUACACCACCACAAAUGGUCAAUCAAGACAAGAAGUCUGUAAGCUAGUGCUGGAAUUAACCAUGAAGAGGAGGGAGACAGCAGUUAUAACCACAUCCCCCUGCCCCCUUAACCACUGUUUAAAUGCACAUACAAUAUGUAUCACAUAGUGAUAGGAGCAGCUAAGACACAGAACUUUUCUCCCCUUGGUUUUCAGAUGAUUUUUUUUAGACCGCCUGUAGUUGAAGUGAAAAACCAAGAAAUGCAAAAGAAAUGGGGUUAAUUUAAGUAGGUGGAAAUUAAAAAACCCAAUAGGAAAAUUAGAUCAGAAAAGGUCACGAGUGACUGUGUGUAGGAGUAAGAGAAGAGAUUUGUGACAGCGACAUGUGAUCAUGCUAUUCUCAUCACUAGUGACUCAACGCACAUGUAAAACUUUCACACUGACACACCAUCUCUGACCUUUGACCAUUUCACUCUGACAUAUCCAACUAACUACCAUACAGUAUGUGUCAGACUGUGACAAGACCUGCAUUUUUAAAAAGCACAUUGUGAAGCUUAGUUGAUCGGGAGUGUUUAGGCAUCUAAAAUCAUUCUUAAAGUGUUUUUGUGCUCAAGAUGUGGUAUCUACAUUUAACUUAGUAGCUUAAAAAUCUACUACUUAUACAUAAACUGCAUGAGCAAAUUAAUGUAAAUUAAUUAAGAACAUGGAGGCUGUUAUUACAACCUACUCCACAACCGACAUGGGUUGUAACACUAAUAGAAAACAGUUUGUGUAUGAAUCUAUUCGAGUAUAGAUUUUUUAACUGCAUAUAUUAAUUAAUUUAAUUAAAAUUUUGUCAACACUGUUAAAAAAAAAAAAAAAAAAAAUCCUGAUAAAUUUAUAGAAAAAACAUCUGGCAGCUGUGGUUGCCAAAAAAAAAUCACCUUUAAAAAUGGCGACAAUAUUUCAGGUAGUACAGAAUUGCAUUUUAGUGACUAUUUUUCCACAGAUUUUAACCAUAUUUAAUUAUAUACACUGCGUUCCAAAUUAUUAUGCAAGUGACAUAUCAGUAAGAUUUCAGUAGAAUAAACAUUUAGAUUUUAGUUUUUCUAAGAAAAUGUUUG